rnacentral:rRNA from 1 species
CGCCUAACACAUGCAAGUCGCACGAGAAGUUCCCCGCAAGGGGAAUUGUAAAGUGGCGCACGGGUGAGUAAUAUGUGAGUAACCUACCCUUGAGUGGGGGAUAACCUCGGGAAAGGGAGGCUAAUACCGCAUCGUAUCUUGAGGCGAAAGCUGAAAGAUUAAAGGUGGCCUCUAUUUAUAAGCUAUCGCUCAUUGAGGGGCUCACAUUCCAUUAGCUAGUUGGCAGGGUAACGGCCUACCAAGGCGACGAAGGAUAGCUGGUUUGAGAGGACGACCAGCCACACUGGCACUGAAACACGGGCCAGACUCCUACGGGAGGCAGCAGUGAGGAAUAUUGCGCAAUGGGCGAAAGCCUGACGCAGCGCCGCCGCGUGGGGGAUGAAGGCCUUCGGGUUGUAAACCCC